rnacentral:rRNA from 1 species
UACGUAGGGUGCAGGCGUUACUCGGAAUUACUGGGCGUAAAGCGUGCGCAGGCGGUCUGUUAAGAGAGAUGUGAAAUCCCCGGGCUUAACCUGGGAACUGCGUUUCUAACUGGCAGGCUUGAGUGUGGCAGAGGGGGGUGGAAUUCCACGUGUAGCAGUGAAAUGCGUAGAGAUGUGGAGGAACACCGAUGGCGAAGGCAGCCCCCUGGGCUAACACUGACGCUCAUGCACGAAAGCGUGGGGAGCAAACAGG